GCCCGGUGCAGCUCAGGUGAUGGGUGCAGACGGUAGACGCCUCCUCCUCUUCCCGGGCGCGCAGCCCGAGGCCCUGGAGUAAGGAGCCACAGCCCAGCCAGCAGAGAAAGCCAAGAUGGGGAAACUGAGGCUCACCAGUCCUGUGUGGAUCUACCCAAGGUCUCCCAGAGUACCUGCAGAAUUGGGGAUCCAACCUAGCUGCCACCACUCUGGGAAUACAGGGCAAAUGGGCGGGGCUGAGCCGUUGGCAUGGCUUCCUUUGCUUCAUACCCAGUGGUUUAUGACAUCGUCAUCACUUCUCAGAGACGGUGAACGGUGAAAGACGGUUUAAAAGACAGCUCGCAUUUCUCAAAGCAACGAAGAAGACACGGCUACGGUUUUGCUUUGAAGCACAACGGAAAGAAAAGAGAAGAAGAAGGGGGUGGGGCGGGGGAUCCACUUGCUGUAACGUUUAACACCCAGAGAUAAAUGGGCCACCUGUGCAUCUCGCGAUUGGCUUCCAAAGUUUCAAUAGCGGCAAGAAACGGCUCAGCCUCAGUGGAUAAGUCCCAAUGAUGCAGGGCUCCGCAAGCUUUGAGUAAUCUCCCC